GAUGAACGCUGGCGGCGUGCCUAAUACAUGCAAGUCGAGCGAACGGACGAGAAGCUUGCUCUUCUGAUGUUAGCGGCGGACGGGUGAGUAACACGUGGAUAACCUACCUAUAAGACUGGGAUAACUUCGGGAAACCGGAGCUAAUACCGGAUAAUAUUUUGAACCGCAUGGUUAAAAAGUGAAAGACGGUCUUGCUGUCACUUAUAGAUGGAUCCGCGCUGCAUUAGCUAGUUGGUAAGGUAACGGCUUACCAAGGCAACGAUGCAUAGCCGACCUGAGAGGGUGAUCGGCCACACUGGAACUGAGACACGGUCCAGACUCCUACGGGAGGCAGCAGUAGGGAAUCUUCCGCAAUGGGCGAAAGCCUGACGGAGCAACGCCGCGUGAGUGAUGAAGGUCUUCGGAUCGUAAAACUCUGUUAUUAGGGAAGAACAAAUGUGUAAGUAACUAUGCACAUCUUGACGGUACCUAAUCAGAAAGCCACGGCUAACUACGUG
rnacentral:rRNA from 1 species